AAAAAGGGAACAGAGGUAUAUUAAUACACAUUUUGGGGGGACUCUGUCAAGCUAAUGGUUUUCUUGGCACUGGCACAUUUUGGCACGGAGGAGAGGAAACUAAGGAAAGUACCGCUCUCUUCUGACAUGCUCUGAAUAUCAACACAAAAGACCCUGAAAAAAAACAUCAUUUUUCACCCGAGAGAUGGAAAAAUGGGAAGAUAUUGUACCGUACUGUAAGCAAAAACGUUAAACGCUUAUCUGCGACAACAGAAGAGGAACAUCUAGACGUCUAUCACAUGUACCGGCUCCGAAUGCUGAUUUUAUACAAACAAAAAUAAGAGAAGAACUGAGCACGUUCUAUGAUUAAAUCUUGGCUUUUUUUUCUGCUAACAUUAUCACAUAAUGGAAGCAAUUGCUGUGCAUAGAAUCUCUCGGUAAAUUACAGGGACUUGAAAAACAGGAGCAAAAAACUUCCCACACGUUAUUUCCUCUUCAGUUGUAAUGGGCUGAGGCCAGAAUCGCGAGCGUUCAGCUUCACGAGACACUUGUAGGUGCCCUCAAAAGUUCCACCUGUUUCAGUUCUUCCCUAUCAGUACUUCUCCUUGGUUUCUUUUACUAUUUAUAUUCCCUGAUAGCCCAUCAUAGCUCUGAUGGAUCACCCCCUUUACAAUACAUACAGUGACCUACUGACCCUGUCCCACAACGCUUUUAACAUUCAAAUGUCAAGGAGGAACUCGGAGGAGGAGAACAAGCAGAUGCAGAGAGCUGGAGGACAGAGAUGCAAAACGAAAAAGAUGGCAGAGAAAGAGAAAGAGAAUCCAUCAUUUAAGCAACGGAUUGAAGGCACGGCUGAACUCUGGGUCUCCUGACACUGAAAAAGGGCUCACGAGUGAUUAUGAUGACAAAUGACCUCUGCAGUCUAUUACUCAUGAGCAAAGUAAAACCAGCAGAAUCACAGCCACAGAACCCCUGUGCAAAUACAGAAAAAAAAAAGACAAACACAUUUUGUGUGAAAUGCUCCAGUAAGUCAUACGGGAUAGGACAGCAUUUUCCCAGGCUGAUGUGAGGAUGCCCGAAGCCAUCUGUAUUCAAGCACGUAACCUACAGUAAGGAUCUUCUGCUCUCCAGCUUGAUAAGUUAUCUGUAGAUGGCCUCUCUUAAAAGCAAAGCAACUUUAAUCAGUACC